rnacentral:misc_RNA from 1 species
AAGUCGUAACAAGGUUUCCGUAGGUGAACCUGCGGAAGGAUCAUUAACACGAAUAAUAAUCAUCCAUUAUUCAAACAACUGUGAACUGUUCUCCUCCCAGCAUUGUCUUUCGGGACAUGCUGGCUACCAAUCUCUUUCUCAUUCUGUUCUCUUUAUCGAGUUCGAAUGAGACGAGAUCUUUUCUUUAACCCCAUUAAAAUCAUCUUAUUGCUUUAUUCUCUACUUGAUUGUAUUGUAAUGAAUCAAUGCUUUUCUCCCAUUGUUUAAAUUAUUAAUAAAUUGUCAAUGUGGCGUUCUACGUAAUGUAAAACAUGAGUUAAAACAACUCUUAGCAAUGGAUAUCUUGGUUCUC